rnacentral:lncRNA from 1 species
UAAUUUUCUUUUGUUGUUUGAAUUAGUAUGCUGUUGCUCUAUUCUCCAUUGACAGCUAAUAGAUGCAAUUCUGCUUAGAUCUCAAUGUCGUGUAAGCUAAUGUCCGACAGGCCACCUGAUCUCGUUGAUGGGUAGACUCUUAUUGACUAGUUUCAUAAAAUGUUCCCCGCUUAGGAGUUACAGAUGCCAUCAUCGCAAAACAAUCAGGUCAUGUAAUGCCACCACUCUAAUGUAAAUAUAUAACAUGUCUGUGUGACAAAUAAAAAGCCAAAACCUCAUCAUAAUAGAACUAUUGGGACAAUUAGAUCUGCUCCCCUUGACUCACUGUCAGCCUCCCGACUAUGUGUCGGUAACAGAUGUUGGAUUGUUAAAACCAGAUCGUCAAAGGAGAUCCGAUUUGAUUACAGCAUCUACAAGACUAAUCACCCG